UUUUUGGAUUAAUUUUGAUAUUUUUCAUGAAUUAAAUGUUUUUAUGCAUACUUUUAAUUGUUUAAAUAUAUUUCUGACUUUUCAAAAAUCAUGAAAUUUUUUGUCUAAGGUCCUUUGACCUUGUUUGACCUAGGAUAAAUCUCUUGGCCAUUUAUUUGGUGUUUUGAAGAGAUUUUAGAUUUUGACCAAAUUAAAUUGUAUUUUUAUGCAUUUUUAAAUUGAUUUUUAAUUGAUUAAAUGUGUAAAAAUUAUGUUGAGUCAUUUUUAGGGUCUUGUAAUGUUUGACUAUUUGUUUGGGCCUUGGUCAAGAUUGAUUUGAAUUUGGUUGGAUUAAAACCAUUGGAUUUAGGGGAUUGAUAAAAUGUACAUUUCAUCUCCCAAAAUGAAUGAAUGGUUUUAGUUUGAUAAAAUUCCUUGCAUGACCAAUUUGUG
rnacentral:lncRNA from 1 species